rnacentral:rRNA from 1 species
GAUGAACGCUGGCGGCGUGCCUAAUACAUGCAAGUCGAGCGAACAGACGAGGAGCUUGCUCCUCUGACGUUAGCGGCGGACGGGUGAGUAACACGUGGAUAACCUACCUAUAAGACUGGGAUAACUUCGGGAAACCGGAGCUAAUGCCGGAUAAUAUAUUGAACCGCAUGGUUCAAUAGUGAAAGACGGUUUUGCUGUCACUUAUAGAUGGAUCCGCGCCGCAUUAGCUAGUUGGUAAGGUAACGGCUUACCAAGGCAACGAUGCGUAGCCGACCUGAGAGGGUGAUCGGCCACACUGGAACUGAGACACGGUCCAGACUCCUACGGGAGGCAGCAGUAGGGAAUCUUCCGCAAUGGGCGAAAGCCUGACGGAGCAACGCCGCGUGAGUGAUGAAGGUCUUCGGAUCGUAAAACUCUGUUAUUAGGGAAGAACAAAUGUGUAAGUAACUAUGCACGUCUUGACGGUACCUAAUCAGAAAGCCACGGCUGACUACGUG